rnacentral:rRNA from 1 species
UACGGGGGGGGCAAGCGUUGUUCGGAAUUACUGGGCGUAAAGGGUUCGUAGGUGGCCAACUAAGUCAGACGUGAAAUCCCUCAGCUUAACUGGGGAACUGCGUCUGAUACUGGUUGGCUUGAGUGCAGGAGAGGAACGCGGAAUUCCAGGUGUAGCGGUGAAAUGCGUAGAUAUCUGGAGGAACACCGGUGGCGAAGGCGGCAUCCUGGACCGGCAUUGACGCUGAGGCGCGAAAGUGUGGGGGGCGAACAGG